GCUCACCCGAGGUUUGGUGUCCUCGGAUGGGAUGGGCUCGGUCCCCACUGCACUGCUGUCCCCUCCCACCCCACUGCCUGCUCUUAAAUGUCACCCGGCGUCACUGAGAUUUAUGCUGCACAAUGAACAGCAGCACAAGGCCAUAAAUGGGAAAGAAAACUGGAGACCAGUCCUGGUCUGGGUGCUGGCUGCUGGGCACUGAGCACCCCCUCCUGCCACACCGUGGCUCCGUUCAGGAACCAGCCCCAGGCAGACACAGAGCCCGAGGUGCAGGGUACGCCAAAACCCACCCUCACCCCUCUCCACCAGCCUCCUGCAUCCCGGAUAAAAAGGAAUACGGAAACCAGGUUCCUAAGAUGAGGUGCCUUCAUCUCGCUGCACAGCGUUUGAUCAUUUCAGAUGUUUUACAAGGAGAUGUAUGGUUGAAUUAUCAUUAGAGGAGGCGAUGGAACUGAAGAGUAACAGAAAACUUCCCCCAUGGUGACCCAGACUCACGUUACGUGCUUGAAAGCAGAAGAGCGAUAAAACACAGGAGCCAGCUCGGAUGGGGACCGGCUCACAGGAGCAGCUGUGCCCCAGAUUUCCAGCUCCCCUCUCCUGCCUGGGAAGGGAGCACACUUGGGGGUGCAUCAGAGCCCUAAACUUGAGAGAGGCUGCAGUAAAAAACCAUUGGUGUGAUGAGAAGCCAGUAGAGUACAACCUGGGUUCGUGUGGGCUGGGGUACUGGUGCCAGUGUGCUCCUGACCAGGGGAUCCCGUGGGUGGCCGAGGUCCAGAGCAGGGGCAUGUAGCACCGAGGACAAAGGGAUCUCAGAGCCAAGGAUCCCAGGGCUGGAAGCGCUGGCAUCCCGCUCAGAGCGGGAAUUCUCGCCUCUUUUUCUGCAUCAGUGCCCCUAAUCAUCCAUCCAUCACCCAUCCCUUCUGUCCUGAGUCCUCCAGCAGGUGUGAGGAUGGAUGGCAUGCCUGAAAUUGCCAAAGCCUGCUCUGUGUGCAUGCUUGCUUAGCAAUAGAGCAAGUGCCAUUUCCAGAGCCUCAUUAGUAUUUGCAUUGUUGCAUGGCUGUCUAAGAGAAGUAGCAGCUAAGUGAGCCAGUCAGAUCUUGCUAAUUUGCAUGUUAAUGAAGCCCAGAGAACACAGCUUAGAGAGACUGGCAAGUAGACCUCCAAUUGAUAGAUCUAUACAUGCAGCCUGUAUAUGCUUUAGAGACACAGCAAACACUGUAGGCAGACACCCAGAUGGCUAGAGAGACAGACAAACAGAUGGUUAUAUACAGACAUACUGGAAGUGGGGAAAAAUCUUUGUGCAGAGGGGUAGGAUGAAGCACUGCAAAGGGGGGGGAAGGUUAGAUAGAUAGAUAGACAGACAGACAGAUAAAAAUAUGAGUGGAGAAACAGAUUAGUCAAGGAUUGUGAACAUGCUUGGAAAUAAGAAUAUUUCUU
rnacentral:lncRNA from 1 species